rnacentral:lncRNA from 1 species
GACCCUGUCCACUCCGUUUCACAGAUGAGGAGCCUGCAGCUGGCAAACACCACUGCAGGAGGAGUGCUGACCUCCAGGCUGUGCAGAGCAUCGUCCGUGAGACCCGUGAGGGUGUUCGUACUAAUUAUUCCUGCUUUUGAGUAAUGAAGGUGACCAAACCACAUGACCCUGCCUGCAAAGAUUCCACCUGGACUCCCGGUUCCUCCAAGGAACCGUCGCGUGGUUCAAAUCCAAC